AGUUUCAGCGGGUCUGGCAGCGUGAAAGAAAAAGCUAAGCCUCUUCACGGAGCAAGUUUGUGUUGCUUUAAUAGUGCGCGAAAAACCUUCCUUUCCGAGUCCCUGACUGCUGAAGAGCGAGGCUAGUCCCGGCCUCUCCAGUGACAUUUUUGUCUGCCUCUCGCCUGGAGAAGUUCCCAGACCAGGGCCCGGGAUGGAACCCCUGCCACAGCAGUGACCCUAGCUAGCCACUGCGGUAACAAUGCUGGAUCCUUAAGGUGCUGUGCCACAUAGGAACUCCAAAACUUUACUUAUUUUCAACUAGAACAAUCAUUUAACAUAAUUUUACCUUCCAAUCUUUAAUGAAGGUUUUAAGUUAAUAUUUUCAAGAUUUUUUUUUUACUUGUUAUCAAUUGAGAGAAUUCCAAUGUUUGACCUGUUCUCAUGGCUCUGUGACAGUUUUUAACGAUAUUUAAGUCAGGUUACUGAAACACUGUUUCCAGGACUCCACCUUGACUAUGUUGUGUGAAAAAGAAGUUCAUUUCCUAUAUAAGCUGUUGGGACAUUUAGUAGGUCAGAUCGUUUUAAACUUUUUUGGUAAGAAUUUUUAAUUUUCUGGAAUUUGCCCAAAUGUCAUUGACAACUUGAAAGCUUCCUUUGAAACACUCUCAGGGAGUUGCAAGUGCAGGGCCAAUAUUGUCUUUCUAUAAAAUUUUGGGUUUUUUCCAUCAUGUGUAGGUUUUAGAAUUUUCAUUUUUAAUAUUGCCUUAAAAUAUACUUUACCUUGAUUACAUAGAUUUGGGGCCUCUUUAUAAUCCAUGUUUGUGCAAAGUAUUUGCUUACUUUACCCUAAUACUCCCCUGGGAAAUACUUAGAAUUAGUGUGGUGAUCUUCCGCAGCUGAAAAUAUAGGAAUGUCCUCUAUCUUAUCACCCUCACUUCCAUCUGUGUUUUUCACCCAUGUCCUGGUCUGCACAACUUUUUAAAAAAAUCUGUGUCUUAAUAUCACUGGAGGUGGUCUGAGACUAACUAAGGAUGAGGGAAGGACUAUUCAUCUCAUUUCUGUGAUUCACGGAACAACCAUAUUUUUUCAGACAAUUGUCCUAAAUACUUGUUCUCUGUAAAACACUUCAAGUGCUGUAGGAUUUCUCUCCAAAAUACCUCAGGCACCGCUCUAAGGGUGGAAGCUUGUGCUCUGAUCUCUCACAGUCCGACUGGCAGUUCCUCUCCAGGAGCUUGCAUUUGGGCCCUGAACAUGCAGACCCCGACUGUGGGUAAGAGAGCUGCAGUCAUAGCUUCUCUGGGCUGGGCUGAGCAUGGACUCUACCAUGUGUUAUACUAAUAUAAAAGCUGCUAUAAUUCACUGUAUUGAGAUUCUCAGCCUGUGAGAAUUUGCACUUAAUUUUACUUAAGCUUUACAAAUCCCUGAGUGACCACUAGUUCAGUUGUGUCAGUUUUUUAGAGAGGAAAUGAAAAUCUGAUGUCAGUUGAGGUCAGAGGCCACAGAUUUGGUGAGAGUGGAGCUUUCUGCUUCUCCCAGUCCCUCCUCUUCAUCAGUGCUGAGUACUGGCCCUCAUCUGUACUGAGCAUGUGCUGCUUCCUUCUCCUGAUCCUGCUUCUGAUGUCUGUCCUCCCUGCUCCUUACAAGGCAGUCCGUAUCCCUGUCUUACUUCCCUGGAAUCCACACUGCCAAGCACAUUGUCAUGUAUGUGUGCAGUCAACACAUUUUGGUGACAGAAAGAAGAGCAUGGUUUGAAUUAACCCUCUCCCUUUUUUUGAGGGGGGUGCAGAAAUACCUGCGUAAAAGUGGAAAGUUCCCAGGCCAGGGGUCAAAUUGGAGCUGCACCUGAUUGCCUACAAGACAGCCAGAGCAACUGGGGAUCUGAGAAGCAUCGACAACCUACAUCACAGCUCGCAGCAAUGCUGGAUUCUUAACACACUGAGUGAAGCCAGGGAUCAAACCCACAUCCUCAUGGAUAGUAGUCUGGUUUGUUUCUACUGAGCCACAAUGGGAACUCCUGAAUUAACCCUUGAUGUUAACAGUUGUGCCACAAUUGUUUGUAGACUAUGUCCAGAUGUAUGAGCUAUGAUGCCUGAGAGUAAUGUGGAGGAAUUCAACUCUAAUGUCAUAGCCCCUUAAAAAGGAAAUGGAGACAGGCUAGUAGUUGUAUUUUGAUGCAUUAAGAAGUGUGGAAAUGGAGAGCAAUCUCAAAUCUCUAAGUAUUCUUAUUAGAAUUAAAAAAGACAUAGAUUGAGAAUCAGAUUUUUAUUUCAACCUUGGGUCUCAUUUAGGUGAAUACAUGCUACUGGACUGAUCCUCUGUCAAAUUCCAUGAGUGUGUUUAAUUUCCAGCAUAAUAAACAAAUGAGGCAUUGGAGUUGUCACAUUACUUGGAAGAGGUAUUGAGAAAAACGUGGAAACAACAUUGAGAUAGGAAGAGAAAUGACAAUCCUGGCCUGUAUAACACUGUCCCUUGCAGGCAGGUUUUCAGAGCAUCUGGAGAACGUCUCCUAUGGCCAGACAUCUGCAUCAGCAAGCUCACUGGGGACCUGCCAGGCUCUUCACUGGUGACAUGGAGGAUGAUGGUCUCCAGCCCCGUCUGCAGACUUAGCUGUGACCUGGCCCAGAUCCAUGGCCUGCCAAAGCAGGAGACCCCCACAGUUCUGCACCUAAUGGGGAGAGUCCUCCUUGUUUUCCUGCCUGAAGGACAGGAAUGCUUUGGGGUUCCCCAAAAGCUGAACAGCAGGCAGUUGCAAAAAGCUCAGGCCACCUCUUUCUCCAUGAGAUGAUCCAGCCGAGCUUCAACUUGUUUGGCACAAACAGCUGAAAUUCCUCACUGGGCUUGAUCAGCAGGAGGAAGCUCUGCAGACCAGUUUGGUGCAGGAGCCUGGGGAAGAAAAGACCUUCCUGGAGAUGAGGACUCUAGCCUGACUUUGAAUAACUCCUUUUGAAGGACCAGGUUACAUCUGAAAAGGAAGUACAUAGCUGCUGUGCACGGGACAUUGUCAGACUGGAAAUUAAGACCUGAAAACCAGUAUGUGCUUUCCCUAUAGCAUCAACCUCAGAGAAAAUCCAGGAGUGGGAAAGGAGACUUGGACCCAGUCAUGUACAACUGAGUCUUAUCUACUUAUAGGUGCCUCUUGUGUGUCAGUGUUCCCUCAGUUCAAAGACUUUUCUGCUUCGGUUGUAAAUGCAUUGAGUCAUCUCGGCAAAUUGUUUUUCAAUACUAAAAAGAGAGUAUAAUUUUGAAUUGAGAGUAACUUUUUAGUGUGGUAUUUACAGAUAAAUUCUCUAUGAGUUUUGUAUUUACAAAUUUUUUUUUUCAUUUUAUGCCCUGCUAUGUAUCUUGUUUUUCUUUGCACUGGGGUGCAAGAGACAUACUUUGUUUUUUUAAGGCUUUGCUUACUGUAUUUUUUUUUAUUUUAUGAUUUUUAUUUUUUCCAUUAUAGUUGCUUUACAGUGUUAGAUCUUACUCACACUGUUAUGCAAAGUAUCCUUAAACCUUUAAUCGGCCUUAAAACCCUAAAAGAAUGUUUUACUCAUUUCAUUGAUUCUUAAAAUAUUUUUAAGAAUCUUUGUUCCUAGUAAUUUACUUGUGUUUGUAAAUAUAUUGGUAAAUAAAACAAAGAUAUCACUUUC
rnacentral:lncRNA from 1 species